rnacentral:rRNA from 1 species
AGUGAACGCUGGCGGCGUGCCUAAUACAUGCAAGUCGAACGCGAAAGUCCUUCGGGAUGAGUAAAGUGGCGCACGGGUGAGUAAUGGUUGAGAACAUGCCCUGAGGUGGGGAAGUAACAGUUGGAAACGACUGCUAAUACCGCAUGGUGUCGCGAGACUAAAGGUGGGGACCGCAAGGCCUACCGCCACAGGAUUGGCUC